rnacentral:tRNA from 1 species
GAGCUUAUAGCUCAGUUGGUUAGAGCGCUACAUUGACAUUGUAGAGGUCAGAAGUUCGAAUCUUCUUAGGCUCA